UAGCGACUGAUGAUGAUAAGCUGUAGAGU
rnacentral:sRNA from 1 species